rnacentral:rRNA from 1 species
GACGAACGCUGGCGGCGUGCCUAAUACAUGCAAGUAGAACGCUGAAGGAGGAGCUUGCUCUUCUGGAUGAGUUGCGAACGGGUGAGUAACGCGUAGGUAACCUGCCUGGUAGCGGGGGAUAACUAUUGGAAACGAUAGCUAAUACCGCAUAACAGUAGAUGUUGCAUGACAUUUGCUUAAAAGGUGCAAUUGCACCACUACCAGAUGGACCUGCGUUGUAUUAGCUAGUUGGUGGGGUAACGGCUCACCAAGGCGACGAUACAUAGCCGACCUGAGAGGGGGAUCCGCCACACUGGGACUGAGACACCGCCCAGACUCCUUCGGGAGGCAGCAGUAGGGAAUCUUCGGCAAUGGACGGAAGUCUGACCGAGCAACGCCGCGUGAGUGAAGAAGGUUUUCGGAUCGUAAAGCUCUGUUGUAAGAGAAGAACGAGUGUGAGAGUUGAAAGUUCACACUGUGACGGUAUCUUACCAGAAAGGGACGGCUAACUACGUG